GGGAGGCGAUGUCACAACCACAGCUCUGCUGCACUGUUUUUACAGCUAUUUUGAGUUUUAUUUUUGAAGACGCUACCAGGGAAAAUUCAUUGUUUAUAGUUUUUCUAUUACAGACAACGACUAAGCAUUUGGAACCAGCCUCUGGUGUCGGUGUAAGCAGUAUAACGAGCCUCCGUGAGCUCCCCAGGUUUAUCAGUAUGUUUUCCAUACGUCUAUCCACUUCCCUAUUUCAAUCUUUAGCAACUCACAUUGUAUUAUUUCAUCUGUAUUACCACUUAUGUAUCUAAGAGGCAAGAUUCUAAACAUCAGAACACCAUAUCAAAUUUAAAAAUGGACAAUUAUGUUUAUUUAGGGUACUUGAGAAUAUGAUCGUGUAUUUUCAAAUCAAUGUCUAAACAUCUGGCGCUUCUUUCUCAUAGGAGUACUUACUUCUUUUCCCUGGUGUUCUAUUAAUCUCAAGACUAGAGAUUUAUUUGCCAAGUUUUAGGCAGAGAGAUGGAAAAGAGUAUAGAUAGAAUAGAGAAAAACUAAAUACACCUAUGUUUUAUAUUACAAUUGAUUAUUAUGGUAGAAGACUGAAAAACAAAACUUCUUCACUUUUCAUUAAAACUAUUUUGGAGUUUCUGGGGUUCUGCCAGUUUCCCUUUAACACUGGCAAAAUACAUCAGUAAUUGUUUCCUUGCCCCAGGAACAUCUUUAUAUGUCAGUAUGAAUAAGGUAAAGUGAGAUAGGGCAUUGUGCAGGAGUAGGUAGAAAGAAUGCAAGAGCCAGAGGAUGAGGUCAGGUGCUGUGCCACACUGUCUUCUGGGCAGGAAUGGCUGUUCUACUCAUGGACUCACGGGAGCCGAGGACUGUACAAGAACAAGCCAGUCAGCAUUGCAAUGUGAGAGGGAAGGGCCCGUGGGGCUCUGUCUCUAGUUGACGAGCUCCUGACCACUGACACAGCUGCACUUAGGGAGCUAGAAGAAGAGGAAGAAGAGGAGAAGGAGGAGAAAGAAGAGGAAGAGGAAAAGAAGGAGGAAGAGGAGGAGAAGAGGAAGAAAAGCCCUUUGCUCUCCUGUCGUCCAUACCUUUUCUAUCUGUGAGAAGUCAUCUAUAAGUUUGUCAAGAUUUACAGUCCUGAUCUUCUUCGUGCAUUCUUCACUGUUUUGAUCCAUGCCUGAAAUAAUGAAGGAUAGACAAUACCAAGUAAGAAAGAUGCCAAACAUUGGUCAUAAUUCAAACACUAAAAUAAUUGUCCUCUGAGCUCCAUUUUACAUGGAGAACGUUUGAUAUACUCGGAAUUAGCUGCAGUUAAAUGCAUUCUUUUCUAUAUUCUUUUCUACCCUCACUCCUGCCAAAUUUUCUGUAAACAUAUCUAAAAUUUGUGUGGUUAUGUGUGUAUGUAUAUUAUAUUACAAUAUUAUAUAUUGUAUAAAAUUAUUUGUUUAUAUUUAAUAAAAUAAAUGACUGCAUUAUUAGAUUUAUUAUAAUCUAUUAUCUCAAUUACAUAUAAUACAUAUAUAAUUAAUAUAAUAUAUAAUUAUAUCAUAAUGAUUAUGUUGUCUUUGCCUUUCAAAAACAUUACGGAUUUAAAAUCUGAUAUAUUAUCCAAUUUGAGGUAUAACUUUUAAAGGUAAGCAUUCUCACUUAAUAUGCUAAACAUGCUUGUUUAAGAGUUAUCACACACAUAUUCUGUUAAUCUGCUUGUGUUUUAUAUUUUGUUUAGUAAAUAAAUGAUACAUAGAAAAUAAAGUACUCACAAAAUAUUACUUUUUUGUAUGCUUUUGGGAUUACAUAAAAGCAUACACAUAAAGCUUCCGGGUGGAUAUGAGUAAUGUUUAGUAACUGCUGAAAUAAAGAGCAAGUUUCAAGUUUAACUCUGGAACCAAUCAUAAAAAUGUUUCAGAAUCCCAGAGGUGGAUUCAUCCACAGGAUGGGGAAACCGAAUGUAACCAGCAUUUACAUGUGGGCGUGUGAAGGUGUCUUACUAGAACCAAGAUUAAUACAAUAUCAAAGUGUGAAAUACUUGGCAUUACAUUUUUCUCACAUAAAAAAAAAAAGGUGGUGAAAUACAGUUUUGAAACUCAGCUAUUCUAGAUUUGGGAAAAAAGACCACAAGGCCAUGUAUUGGAUGUUAACUAGUCCAAAAUAAAUGGUAUUCAAAAUACUUUUUUUGUGGUCAUAUUCUUGUCAAACUGGACACUGCCUGACAUUACUCUGUCAAGAAAUUCCACUUUCUUCUUUUUAUGUUACUUGACUGUAGCAGCUUUUAAUCGUUUUGAAAUCUGAAUUUUGGUUAUGUACUUCCAGUUUAGUGAAACACUUGCAAUUCUGUAUUGCAUAUCAGUAAAAUUAUAUUUCAAAAACCUCAGUAAAAACUUGUUCCUUCUGGUAGAAAAAUAAUCAUAAUAGACAACCCCCAUAACAAAACAGUUUCAUUCUUUGUUGAACAAAGUUA